CUGAUUAAAGGUAAACUGAUAAAGAACAUAUCUGAUCAGGGAAAAAAAAUACUUCCGUUCUAGGGUGGGAAUUUUUUCCCCUCACGAUUGCUUCCUUAUCCAUGACCCAUUCAGAUGAUUGAGCCAAGGUACUCCAAGGAAUAUUUGGACCUGCUAAUCUGAUGGUACUUAAUCUUUUAAAAGAACUACAAGUAUUCUCGAUCAUCAGAGAGAAAUUGACACCAAGGAGCUGCGUGAGAGUUUCAUAGUGAACCACGGGACCAAGAAGUCUAACGAUCCUAUCACACAGACCCUGUUAUCCAUUGUCUUUUUACUAGCUGCCUCAUGAGUUAUUUGCAGGGUCUGGAAGUGCCUUCUUUAAGGAAGCAACAAGAUUUUAACUAUCGUGUGUUAAAAAUUAAGGAAUUUGUCUAAUGAGACACUGUCAACAGAAUUGGUUCUAUGUUGGCCCUGAACCACACAAAAUCAGGUAAAAUUUGUUUGUAUCUCAGUAUUUUUAGGUAUUUGAUGUCUAAGUGAUUACAGUUUCAAAUAGGGCAUGGACUUAAGAAUAACAUUAGUGCCCUGUGUAGCUCAAAUAAUAACACGUAGUCAUCACCAUGAAAAAAUAGAAAGCAUAUGCGGUAAAGUAGUAUCAUCUUGAUGAAACUGUCAGAUAGUCACUUGACUGAGCUGUAGAGACCCUCAGAAAUCUAAAUGAGGUGGAGUUUAUGCAAGUCCUGAUGUAGGAAUAGUCUUUGAAGUUGCAAAUGAAUAUUUCUCAUUAUAAACAUAAUUGAAUAAAAGGAAUUGAGGUAACUGAGCUAAAGAUCAACUUAAAAUUUUUACCGGGAUGGAAGAUUAUUCCAUGCAUAUUAAACAAAAGAGCCAAAAAUACUUGUUUCAUGAAAUUUCUUCUGAGGAAGGAAAAUGAGGUGUGUUUGGAUGAUUUACCACAUCCAUAAAAUUUAGGGCAUAAAAGCCUCUGAGCAGAUGUGAAGAUUCAUAGUCAAGAAGCACACAUUCGAGAACAAACCAAGCCUUUAACUCUUGACACCAUAAGGUAUUAUGGCAGCUACUCUGGAGAUCUGGGCUGUGGUGGUGGCUGGGGAAGUGACAGAUAUGUCUGCUACUGCCCAUUGUGCUAGAGGGAUAUGGAUUCUCUGGCUUCUAUUAAAAUUCUUCUUCAUGAGUCUCAUAUAUUGUUCCAUGAGUGGACUUGCUGAAUCUGAUUUCUACCUCUGGAUCAAUGAAGACUGCGUGGGUCCAUUUAUUCAAAAUAAUUAGCACCUAAAGUUUUCAGUACAUUUAUAAUUACACAAAUUUGUCUCUGUCUCCUUGAUUUCUUUAAUAAAGUCUCUUAAUUUGAAACAGAAAUGCAGCUUUUGUUUAAUUCUUUAUUAUCAAUUAUACAUGUAACUAAGCGUAGAGACUACACA